rnacentral:tRNA from 1 species
AGCUCCGUACUUUACAAAAAGAUUUAACUUGCACUUAAUCAUCAAGGAACAAACCCUUCAGAGCUU